GACGUAGGGGGCAAGCGUUGUCCGGAAUUAUUGGGCGUAAAGCGCUCGUAGGUGGAUCGAAAAGUCUGUGAGGAAAUGCCUGGGCUCAACUCAGGAACCCGUGCGGAUACUUUCGAUCUUGAGGCAAUCAGAGGAUGAUGGAAUUCCCGGUGUAGCGGUGAAAUGCGUAGAUAUCGAGAAGAACACUUAGGGCGUAGGCAAGACUCUGGACAAAUGCUGACGCUCAUGCACGAAGGCUAGGGUAGCGAACGGG
rnacentral:rRNA from 1 species